rnacentral:rRNA from 1 species
AAUAGAUACCCGGGUAGUCCACGCCGUAAACGAUGAGUGCUAAGUGUUAGAGGGUUUCCGCCCUUUAGUGCUGCAGCUAACGCAUUAAGCACUCCGCCUGGGGAGUACGGCCGCAAGGCUGAAACUCAAAGGAAUUGACGGGGGCCCGCACAAGCGGUGGAGCAUGUGGUUUAAUUCGAAGCAAUGCGAAGAACCUUACCAGGUCUUGACAUCCUCUGAUAACCCUAGAGAUAGGGCUUUCCCCUUCGGGGGACAGAGUGACAGGUGGUGCAUGGUUGUCGUCAGCUCGUGUCGUGAGAUGUUGGGUUAAGUCCCGCAACGAGCGCAACCCUUGAUCUUAGUUGCCAGCAUUCAGUUGGGCACUCUAAGGUGACUGCCGGUGACAAACCGGAGGAAGGUGGGGAUGACGUCAAAUCAUCAUGCCCCUUAUGACCUGGGCUACACACGUGCUACAAUGGAUGGUACAAAGGGCUGCAAACCUGCGAAGGUAAGCGAAUCCCAUAAAGCCAUUCUCAGUUCGGAUUGCAGG